rnacentral:lncRNA from 1 species
GGGGCUGGAGAUGCAGUACUGGCGGCAGAUUAGGAAAAACGUUUUGUGAUGGUGCGGGAAGCUUCCGCCUUCCUAUCCCCACUUACCGAAUCUGGGGCUCCUGGAAUCCCAUUUCACUGGGGCCAGGCAGCUCGUCUACGAAGCUGGGGAGAGACACCCCCCACCCCGCGCGCGCGCCUACCUGGGAAUCCUCGCAUCCGGGAUCCUCCCCGCACACCUUCAUCCCAGCUGUGGGGCCGAAGCCCUCAAAGGUCCCUGAGGGGGACCCGUCUUUCCUGGGGAGCCAGGGAAGCCCCACCAUCUAGAUUCCCUCCAGUGCGCCUGGUCCCCCUACCCACCACACCUCGCCACCCAAAGCUUACCUUGUUGGGGGUCUGGGGAGGGGAUGCCCCGCCCUCUCCGGCCUCGAGGGCGGGAGGGGACAGAGGUGUCCAGACCCUUUGUUUGCUGGUGUGUGAGUGUGUGUGAAUGUGUGUGCGCGAUUGUGAGACCCGCUGGAUGUAGGUUCGUGCGCGCGCGUGCCUGGGCCGUGACUGCCGCUGGGGCUGGACUGACCGGGCUGUACCGGGAGGGGAAAGAGAAGGGGACUCC